rnacentral:rRNA from 1 species
UCAAGCUACUAAGGGCAUAAGGUGGAUGCCUUGGCACCAAACGCCGAAGAAGGACGUGACAAGCUGCGAAAAGCUGCGGGGAGUUGCAAAUAAACAUUGAUCCGCAGAUAUCCGAAUGGGGAAACCCGGCUAUAGCGAUAUAGUCACCUGCAUAUGAAUAAAAUAGUAUGUGUGGAGGGAACCUAGGGAACUGAAACAUCUCAUUACCUAGAGGAAAAGAAAGUAAAAACGAUUUCCUGAGUAGUGGCGAGCGAAAGGGAAAGAGCCCAAACCUUGAUACAGCGAUGUAUUGAGGGGUUCGGACUCACAUGACGCUUAUGAAGGAUAGCGGAAGCGUGUGGAAACGCGCACCGUAGGGAGUGAAAGUCUCGUACGCGAAAUUCAGAGUAAGCAGUGAGUAUCCAGAGUACCGCGGGGCACGUGGAAUCCUGCGGGAAGGAAGGAGGACCAUCUCCUAAGGCUAAAUACGAUUUGGUGACCGAUAGAGUAAUAGUACUGUGAAGGAAAGGUGAAAAGAACCCCGGGAGGGGAGUGAAAGAGAACCUGAAACCCUGUGUUUACAAGCUGUGGAACACCUUUAUAUGGUGAACCGCGUACUUUUUGUAGAACGGUCCGGCGAGUUGCGCAUGCAGGCAAGGUUAAGCACUAAAGGUGCGGAGCCGUAGGGAAACCAAGUCUUAAUAGGGCCAGAGUCGGUAUGCGCAGACCCGAAACCGGGUGACCUAUCCAUGUCCAGGUUGAAGCUGCCGUAAAAGGCAAUGGAGGACCGAACCCACAUCCGUUGAAAAGGGUGGGGAUGAGGUGUGGGUAGGGGAGAAAUUCCAAUCGAACCCGGAGAUAGCUGGUUCUCCUCGAAAUAGCUUUAGGGCUAGCCUCAUGUUAGUCUUACGGAGGUAGAGCACUGAAUUCCUGCGGGGGCGUCAAAGCUUACCAAGGGAUAUCAAACUCCGAAUGCCGCGGAACCGAUGGACGGGAGUCAGACCGCACGAGAUAAGUUGGGCGGUCAAAAGGGAAAGAGCCCAGACCUGCAGCUAAGGCCCCAAAGUGUGUGUUAAGUGGAAAAGGAUGUGGGAUUUCAAAGACAACCAGGAUGUUGGCUUAGAAGCAGCCACACAUUAAAAGAGUGCGUAAUAGCUCACUGGUCGAGUGAUGGUGCGCCGAAGAUUACCGGGGCUCAAACCUGACACCGAAGCUUGGGGAUAGCAGUAAUGUUAUCGGUAGAGGAGCAAUGCGUACGGGCAGAAGCUGUAUCGGAAGAGGCAGUGGACUGUACGGAAGAGAGAAUGCCGGCAUAAGUAGCGAGAGGGAGGCGAGAAACCUCCCCGUCGAAAGUCUGAGGUUUCCUGGGGAAGGUUCGUCCGCCCAGGGUAAGUCGGGACCUAAGCCGAGGCCGAAAGGCGUAGGUGAUGGACAACGGGUUGAGAAUCCCGUACCGCCGACACACGAUGUAUGAGGCAGUGACACAGAGGGAUAGUCCAAGCGCGCGGAUGGAAAAGCGCGUCCAAGGCGAAGCGUUGGCAGGCAGUGAAGUACGCCUGUCGGAAGGCGUAGCGCUGACGGGGAGCGGACUAGGGAAGCGAAGUGGAUGAAUCCGCACUGGCGAGAAAAGCUGCUAAAUAGUGUGAAGGUGCCCGUACCGCAAACCGACACAGGUAGACGAGAAGAAAAUUCUAAGACGAACGGGAGAACCCUUGUUAAGGAACUCGGCAAAAUGACCCCGUAACUUCGGGAGAAGGGGAACCGCGCAAGCGGUCACAGAAAAGAGGCCCAAGCGACUGUUUAUCAAAAACACAGGUUUCUGCGAAAGCGCAAGCUGACGUAUAGGAGCUGACGCCUGCCCAGUGCCGGAAGGUCAAGGGGAAGUGUUAGAGCAAUCGAAGCACCGAACUUAAGCCCCGGUGAACGGCGGCCGUAACUAUAACGGUCCUAAGGUAGCGAAAUUCCUUGUCGGGUAAGUUCCGACCCGCACGAAUGGCGUAAUGAUUUGGGCGCUGUCUCAACAGUGAACUCGGUGAAAUUGUAGUAUAUGUGAAGAUGCAUAUUACCCGCGACUGGACGGAGAGACCCCGUAGAGCUUUACUGCAGCUUGAUAUUGAAUUUCGGUAAUUGAUGCACAGGAUAGGUGGGAGGCUGAGAAGUCGGCGCUUCGGCGUCGGCGGAGCCGCUGUUGGGAUACCACCCUUUGAUUAUUGAGGUUCUCACUUUGCGCCGUGACCCGGGCGAAGGACAGUGUCAGGUGGACAGUUUGACUGGGGCGGUCGCCUCCUAAAGAGUAACGGAGGCGCUCAAAGGUUCUCUCAGAAUGGUUGGAAACCAUUUGCAGAGCGUAAAGGUACAAGAGAGCUUAACUGCGAGACAAACGAGUCAAGCAGAUACGAAAGUAGGACUUAGUGAUCCGGCGGUAGAGAAUGGAAUUGCCGUCGCUUAACGGAUAAAAGUUACCUCGGGGAU